GCUUUUAUCGUCUAUAAGGUUAAGAUACUUUUUUUUCAUAAAAGAGAUAAGGAUUCGAGUUCCUUUAAAAGCA
rfam:Myotis davidii contig304579, whole genome shotgun sequence.